rnacentral:rRNA from 1 species
CAGGAUGAACGCUGGCGGCGUGCCUAAUACAUGCAAGUCGAGCGAACAGAUAAGGAGCUUGCUCCUUUGAAGUUAGCGGCGGACGGGUGAGUAACACGUGGGUAACCUACCUAUAAGACUGGGAUAACUUCGGGAAACCGGAGCUAAUACCGGAUAACAUUUAGAACCGCAUGGUUCUAAAGUGAAAGAUGGUUUUGCUAUCACUUAUAGAUGGACCCGCGCCGUAUUAGCUAGUUGGUAAGGUAACGGCUUACCAAGGCGACGAUACGUAGCCGACCUGAGAGGGUGAUCGGCCACACUGGAACUGAGACACGGUCCAGACUCCUACGGGAGGCAGCAGUAGGGAAUCUUCCGCAAUGGGCGAAAGCCUGACGGAGCAACGCCGCGUGAGUGAUGAAGGGUUUCGGCUCGUAAAACUCUGUUAUUAGGGAAGAACAAAUGUGUAAGUAACUGUGCACAUCUUGACGGUACCUAAUCAGAAAGCCACGGCUAACUACGUGCCAGCAGCCGCGGUAAUACGU